rnacentral:siRNA from 1 species
AUAAACAACACAAAAGGAUAUUGU